rnacentral:rRNA from 2 species
GAAGAGAAGAUGGUAAGGGCACACGGUGGAUGCCUUGGCACAGGAAGCCGACGAAGGACGUGACAAGCUGCGAUAAGCCACGGUUAGGAGCACAUAUCCGCUUGACCCGUGGAUUUCCGAAUGGGCGAACCCGGCGGGAGUCAUUUCCCGUCGCCCCGCGCUGAACACAUAGGCGCGGCGGAGGUAACCCGGGGAACUGAAACAUCUAAGUACCCGGAGGAAGAGAAAUCAAACGAGAUUCCCCUAGUAGUGGCGAGCGAACGGGGACAUAGGCCAAACCGUCGGCCGCUUCGGCGCCGGCGGGGUUGUAGGGCCACUCAUCGCGCAGUUACAAAACCUCGUGGAAGCGGAACGGCCUGGGAAGGCCGGCGAGACAGGGUUAGAGCCCCGUACGCGAAUCCGCGAGGACUGCCGAGUGGUUCCUGAGUACUGCCGGACACGUGAAACCCGGUGGGAACCUGGGGGGACCACCCUCCAAGCCUAAAUACUCUCCUGUGACCGAUAGUGGACAAGUACCGUGAGGGAAAGGUGAAAAGCACCCCGGGAGGGGAGUGAAAUAGUACCUGAAACCGUGUGCCUACAAGCAGUCGGAGCAGUGCUUGCACUGUGACGGCGUGCCUUUUGUAGAAUGAGCCAGCGAGUUACGGCGUGUGGCGAGGUUAAGCUAGCAAGCGAGCCGCAGCGAGAGCGAGUCUGAACAGGGCGUUCAGUCGCACACCGUAGACGCGAAGCCGGGUGAGCUAUCCAUGGGCAGGCUGAAGCGGGGGUAAGACCCCGUGGAGGGCCGAACCCACUUAGGUUGAAAACUGAGGGGAUGACCUGUGGAUAGGAGUGAAAGGCCUAUCAAACCCGGAGAUAUCUCGUUCUCCCCGAAAUAGCUUUAGGGCUAGCCUCGGACGUUUACCUGCGGAGGUAGAGCACUGAAUGGUUGCGGGGGCCUCACCGCCUACCAAGACCAAUCAAACUCCGAAUGCCGUAGGUCC